rnacentral:ncRNA from 2 species
CUCAGUCGAAAAUUGAAGACUCAUAUAAUGUCGAUAAUAGGGUUCGACAGUUUCUACAGGAUCACCGAAAAUGAUUCUACUAUGAGUGAAAGUGUACCUAGG